rnacentral:rRNA from 1 species
CCUACGGGUGGCUGCAGUGGGGGAUAUUGCACAAUGGGGGGAACCCUGAUGCAGCGACGCCGCGUGGGUGAAGGAGCGUUUCGGCGCGUAAAGCCCUAUCGGCAGGGAAGAAGGAGGACGGUACCUGACUAAGAAGCCCCGGCUAACUACGUGCCAGCAGCCGCGGUAAUACGUAGGGGGCAAGCGUUAUCCGGAUUUACUGGGUGUAAAGGGGGCGCAGACGGCAGCGCAAGCCAGGAGUGAAAGCCCGGGGCCCAACCCUGGGACGGCUUUUGAAACUGCCGGGCUGGAGUGCAGGAGAGGUGAGCGGAAUUCCUAGUGUAGCGGUGAAAUGCGUAGAUAUUAGGAGGAACACCAGUGGCGAAGGCGGCUAACUGGACUGUAACUGACGUUGAGGCUCGAAAGCGUGGGGAGCAAACAGGAUUAGAUACCCCAGUAGUC